GUGGCGGACGGGUGAGGAACGCGUGAGAACCUGCCUCAAGGUCGGGGACAACAGUUGGAAACGACUGCUAAUACCGGAUGAGCCUUCGGGUAAAAGAUUUAUCGCCUAGAGAGGGGCUCGCGUCUGAUUAGCUAGAUGGUGAGGUAAAGGCUUACCAUGGCGACGAUCAGUAGCUGGUCUGAGAGGAUGAGCAGCCACACUGGGACUGAGACACGGCCCAGACUCCUACGGGAGGCAGCAGUGGGGAAUUUUCCGCAAUGGGCGAAAGCCUGACGGAGCAAUACCGCGUGAGGGAGGAAGGCUCUUGGGUUGUAAACCCCAAAACUUAGGGAAGAAAAAAAUGACGGUACCUAAUGUAAGCAUCGGCUAACUCCGUGCCAGCAGCCGCGGUAAUACGGAGGAUGCAAGCGUUAUCCGGAAUCAUUGGGCGUAAAGAGUACGUAGGUGGCACUUCAAGUCUGCUUUCAAAGACCGAAGCUCAACUUCGGAAAGGGAGUGGAAACUGAAGAGCUAGAGUAUAGUAGGGGUAGAGGGAAUUCCUAGUGUAGCGGUGAAAUGCGUAGAGAUUAGGAAGAACACCAGUGGCGAAGGCGCUCUACUGGGCAUAUACUGACACUGAGGGACGAAAGCUAGGGGAGCGAAAGGGAUUAGAUACCCCUGUAGUCCUA
rnacentral:rRNA from 1 species